UUUCACAAUAAAGAAUGUAGGAAAAAAGAAAGUACUUUGAAAUUUUCUGCCUGGGAGAUUUCCCUGUUCUCUAUUUAUUUAUUCAUUUAUGUAGUUAAUUUUAUGCUCUUUAAAAAAACUGUCACUUUUAGUAAUGGUUAUAUACCACAGAAUUGCCUAUCUUAAUCAUAUUCAAGUGUAAAGUUCAGUGGUAUUAACUAUGUUUUCAAUAUUGUGCUACCAUUGUUGAUGUCCACGAUGCCUACAUUUUUUGACUCCUGAAAUAUGAAGCAAUUAUCCAUUAGGCUAUAUCUUCUUCCUGUACUCUGUCUCCCCAGCCCCUGGUAACCUGUAAACCACCACUGGCCUUUGAUGUUUCCUUCUUCUUUUUUCAUAUAAAGGAAUAAAUUCCUUGCUCAGAGCUAAGAAUUUCUCCAAGGAGAAGGUGGAGGAAUCUGAAGGAUGUAGCUCCCAGCCAUGCCCAGGACAGGAGCAAGCCCUCACACUCAAAAUGAGCAUCGGGUGCCACUUGGAGUAAAACCAGGUUCCCUCUCCCAGCCUGUGCUGAUCCAGCCACCCUCCCUCUCUGCAUCUUUGGGAACAAUGUCCAGACUCACCUGCACCCUGAGCAGUGGUGUAAGUGUUGGUGGAUACAGGAUAUACUGGUACCAGCAGAAGCCAGGGAGUGUUCCCAGGUUCUUCCUGUACCAAUACUCAGACUCAUAAGCAACUGGGACCUGGGGUCCCCAGUCAAGUUUCUGGAUCCAAAGACACCUCAAGCAAAGCAGCAUAUUUGCAAAUCUCAGGGUUGAAGCCUGAGGAUGAGGCUGACUAUGACUGUGUGACUGGGCACAGCAGUGCUGCUCACAGUGACAUAGGCAGAUGGGGAUGUGGGAAAAAACCUGGCCUUCUUGAGGUCUUUGACAAUGACUCUAUUCUCUUAUUAAAUUAACUGUCAUAUGCA